GGGGAGUGGUACCGAGAACCUCUUGGUUCAUACACGACAGGUCCUCCAUAUAUCAGGCACUGGAACAAGGAUGUCAAGCGGAUGUUCAGAAUCUUCUACAACCUGAGCUAUAGAGUUUACAACAAGUUAGAGAGGACUAUCCCCGGAUUUGAUCAAGUGAUGCUAAAAGUACGAGAAGAAUCAAUUGCAAGAGACGAACGCCGCAAGGCAAAGAGGGAGGAACGAAAAAGGGCUGAAGCUGAAGGCCGCAUCUAGUGUCCCAGUCCG
rnacentral:misc_RNA from 1 species